rnacentral:rRNA from 1 species
UGGAACACCUCCUUAGAGUUUGAUCCUGGCUCAGACUCUGGCAUAUCCGUUGGAAACGACGUCUAAUACUGGAUAUGAUCACUGGCCGCAUGGUCUGGUGGUGGAAAGAUUUUUUGGUUGGGGAUGGACUCGCGGCCUAUCAGCUUGUUGGUGAGGUAAUGGCUCACCAAGGCGACGACGGGUAGCCGGCCUGAGAGGGUGACCGGCCACACUGGGACUGAGACACGGCCCAGACUCCUACGGGAGGCAGCAGUGGGGAUAUUGCACAAUGGGCGAAAGCCUGAUGCAGCAACGCCGCGUGAGGGAUGACGGCCUUCGGGUUGUAAACCUCUUUUAGUAGGGAAGAAGCGAAAGUGACGGUACCUGCAGAAAAAGCACCGGCUAACUACGUGCCAGCAGCCGCGGUAAUACGUAGGGUGCAAGCGUUGUCCGGAAUUAUUGGGCGUAAAGAGCUCGUAGGCGGUUUGUCGCGUCUGCUGUGAAAUCCCGAGGCUCAACCUCGGGCUUGCAGUGGGUACGGACAGACUAAAGUGCGGUGGGGGAGAUUGGAGUUCAU